UAGGAGUUGGAAUAGGAGCUUGCUCC
rnacentral:piRNA from 2 species